CCUCCCCUCCCCUCCCUUUCCACCCUGUCAGCCCAUCCCUCCCCUCCCUCCCUCUCCCCUCCUCUCCUCGCCAUUCAUCGCUUCAGCCAAGUUUCUCCGGUUUAACCUCUUUCUCUCCCGGCAGCCACAGCCAAGCAGAUGUGCGAGGCAGGCUCGCCGAGGAGUCUGCCUGGAAGCAUCCCUCUGCAACUGGAGAAAGACGAGGCUGAAAAUAAAGUUGAUGUUUGACUGUAAGGACAAUAGAUGGACAGGCCAGCUUUGCUUGCUUGCUUUUUUACAGGGCACACAUGCGAUAUAUAUAUAUUUUAAUACAGUAUUGUACACUGUUCUGAUCGGGCGAAAGGGGGGGGGCAGAUCUUAAAUCAAGGAUAUUCAAAUCCUGUUCUGAGCGCUGUAAAGCCCCAAAGGAGGAAAGCUUUGCAUAAUUGCACCAUAUAAGCAAAAAUAAGUCCUGGUGUUUUGCAUUGCGAUUUUUUUUUCUCUGGAAUAGUUAAUGCACACCUUUGAUGUGUUGGGUUCAAUGUUCAUUCGCAGACUCCAACCAUGAGUGUGUGGAAGGUAAUAGGACUCCAAUCAACAAAUUUAAACACAUUUUAAAUUAUGCUGAAUUUUAUUAUUUAAUAUCUGUUAUGUGUAUGUUGUGUUUGAAGCCUUUCAAGUCUGCCUCUAAGCUUUCAAAUGGGAAACACACGACCCAGCUAAUAAUGUGAGGUCAAGAAGGGCACGGGGUUGUCUGAUAUCCUAUUUUGAAACAUUCUUUCAAGGUUUUCUGUCAAGGGUGCCCCAGUAUUACAGAACCUGGACCCAAGGUCUUGGUGAGGUACAAAAGUCCAUCAGGAUGGGUGAGGAAACAUAAAUGGGAGAGACUCAGAAUAUGAAGAAGACUUCAUGUCGCAUAGGUUUGGCAGGUGUGGCUGUUGAGGGGUAAGGACCAGAACCGAACUUGGAAGCGCCUCCAACUACAGCUGAACAAACUAGGAAAUUAAGGUCUCUGUUUGUCCAGACCCGAUUACUAACAAAUAGCAAUAGAUUUGGUUGAGUUGCAUUAUUUCCUAGAACUUUCAAAAGAAAAGACCAUACCUAAAUAUGCUCUCAGCUAUUGAAAUAAAAAUGUGGCCCAGAUCCCUUUUAAAAUGUGUCAAGUAGUUGUUUUCAACUGUUUUAACUAUUUUAUUCUUUGAUGGUUUCUCUAUUUUACAGCCAGGUGAUGUAUAAAUUUUAGAAAAUAAACGAGAUCCAGAGGUACAUGUGUAUCGGUUCUGAGUGCACCUCAUAGUUUCCGUCUAUUUCAGCACUUUCCAGCUGUUCAGCUUUCUCAAGAAUUUCUGGAAAGUAAACUAACAGAUAACUUCUAUUAUUUUUCAGGUUACGAAGGAGACACACUAGAUGUGGCUCCUCCUAAGCUUUCCGAACUGGUCCUUUGGUCAAAUGCAGAGUUCCACUGUGAGGGGAGGAACACAGACAAAAGGGCAAGGUAAGGUUUUUUAGGACCAAUCCCUUGUCUUCCUCUAGAAUCGAUUAAUAUGUUUAAAAGUAAGUACCAGCUCUAUGUUACAGUGAUGUCUGCAAAUGAGACAUAAAGGGUCACAGUCUUAACCCCACAAUAUGGGAAGCCCUUGCAGCGCGGGUGGCACUGUGGUCUAAACCACUAAGCCUCUUGGCUUAGUUUGAAUCCGUGUGACGGGGUGAGCUCCCAUUGCUCUGUCCCAGCUUCUGCCAACCUAGCAUACCAAUGCAAGUAAAUAAAUAGGUACCACUAUAGUGGGAAGGUAAAUAAUGUUUCUGUGCGCUUUGGCACUCAUCACGGUCCUCCAUGCGCCAGAAGCGGUUUAGUCAUGCUGGCCACAUGACCCGGAAAGGUGUCUGCAGACAAAUGCCGGCUUCCUCAGCCUGAAAAGCGAGAUGAGCGCCGCACCCCAUAGUCGCCUUUGACUGGACUUAACAGUUCAGGGGUCCUUUACCUUUACUUGAUCCAGCAGGCUCACCUUAUGUUCUUAAACUUUUAUUAUUCAGGUGCCAAUAACAGCCAUAUGCAUUAUCAUUCUCACCAGUGAUACCUCAUCUAUAAAAGAAAAUCUUUUAGUUUUCCCCCUGCACAGCUGGUGGAGAAAUGUGAGCUUGCAAGCAUUUUAUAAUGAUGCACACAUACAGUGAGACAGAUGUACAGUGUACAUGUUGUAACUUGGAAGCAGAUUCAAUACAGAUAAUUUUUGUCAAAGAAUCCUGGGCACUGUCACUUCCCCCUCACAGUUACAAUUCCCAGCAACCCUUAAAAACAACAGUGCCCAGAAUUCUUUGAAGGAAAUAAUGUGCUUUAAAUGUAUUUUAAAUUCUUGAGGUUUUAAAUUUUGGAGUUUUGAUUUGUUUUGAAUUUUGUAUAGUGUGUAUGUUAUUGUAGUAAGCCUCUUUGAGACCAACAUGAUUUAAAGUGUGGUGCGUAUUUUAAAACUAAAAUGGUGUGUACGCAGCCUAAGUCAUGAAGAGAGAAAAUUGCUUUCCACAGUCUCAUACUCUAGGAAGUGCCUGGGUCAGUCACUGUCAUUAGGAUUUCCAUGCUGAUACAUGGUGGGAAUACUUUAAUGAAAGCUUUCCUAAUGCUUAGCAUGUUUGGUGGCUGUCUGGGUCAAUUUGACCAGAGGGUUUGUGUUAAAUCAAAAUGUUAUUGCAUUGGAAAUAAAGCUUAUAAAUCUGCUUAAAGGCUGGAGGGUCAGUAUAGCAGUCUGACUCAUCAAACACCAACUAACAACUGUCAUCACAGGGUUUUUGUUCCCACUACGUGUGUAAGGGUCUCUGUCUGCCUUUCAAUGUUAUCAAACAGCUGUCUUUGCACAAGUGAUUUCUCUUUGAAAACUCUUUGAUAAGACUACGACAUAUGAAGAGAAGCUGUGGUAGGAUAUAAGCAGGAUCCAAAUUCAAUUUUGUAUAGAUUGCAGCUUUCACUCUGAGAUGUAAUGAAGACAGACGUAUUGCACUUGAGGAAGAAGAAAACCUCCCAAUAAACAUUCAUCAAGGCGUAGGGUCUUGCAGUACAGAUAGUCCUUUCACAAAGAAUACAAAUUUGCCCUGUAAAAAAGGCACCGCUUCCCAAAUGCCAUGUUUAUAGACUUCACUAGCAAGGCAUAAGCUUAGUGAAACUUUUUAAUGAUCCUUUCUUAAUAAUUGUAGUUUUCUGCAACAAAUGUACAUUUGCUUCUCAAACAUCUCCCAUCCAGAUUUUAUUUCUGUAGGAUGAAAUUCUAUUUCUCUACUACACAAACCAUAGUAUUUGUACCUGUGAAAAUUCUGUGAUCAAAUAGUGCCACUGAUGUCUUUGGUGAUGGAAGUCAAGUACCUGCACCAUUAUUUUGAAUUUGUUGUUAUGUGACAUCACGAGUACUGCCAUCCUUAUUUAUACAGGUAUGUUGUCAAGGAACCAUGACCAACUGCAGCUCCCUGUUAAAUGCCUGAUUUGUGUGCUAUCAAUAUAGGCAUUUGUACAAUUAUUUAUUUAUUUGAAUACCCUCCUGCCCAGCACGCAUGCCCUGGGCACCAGCAACUGACGCUAUGCUACUGGUCAGAUCAGCUGGAAAAUCUCCCAGCUGGAAAACCAUUGAAUCCAUCAACCUCCAAAGGUGUGCUAUCCUAACAGGUCCCCUGCGUAUGCAGAGGAGAAAAGGUGCUGAAAGUCUAAAACUCUGUGUGAAAUGACCCUCAGCUUCCAAUGGGUAGGUGAGGGUUUGAGCUCUGACAUCACGAGGCAACAGGUCCCAUGAAAUACCUCAAACUUCUCUUCAAGCCCCUAUAUAAAAGAUGUUUAAUGGCACGCAGUAUUUCUCGUAAUUCAGAAGUGGGUGCUGGUUUAGCCCCUGCUUCAGCUUUGGUGGCUUUUUAAAUAUUUUGCCUAGACUGCCAAAAUACCUAACACUGACUGUCAUUCUGGGUAGUGCCUAUGAACAAAACCCCCACUGUUAAGUAGCUGUUUUGCACUGUCACAAGAUUUGCAUUUUGACAUUCAGUCACAAUAGCUGGCUGCAUUAUAUGAUUAUUUGGAGGUUGCAUAGAAAACAUGAUGUACUGCCUCACUGAAAUCAAUGAGAACUUUGCCAGUUAUUCCAUAGGAUGACUUAAGUUUAGUUGGCACAUAACAUUUAAUGAAAUAUAAAUGAGAAACGGCUUUCAAUUAACAGCAAUACCUCAUCCUCUUCCACUGUCAUUUCACUAGAUCUCAGUGUUCUUCUUGACUAUAAUCCUACAUUGGCUCUAAUAUUCAUUCAAAAACUACAUGCAGUAGUAGCCUUCCACUAAUGUACUUACAUUUGUAUCUCCAUGGGGUUUCAUUUUGCUUGCCUUGUCAUUCAGCAUGCCUAAGCUACCUUUAUGCAAGCUUACGCAUUGCUAUGAAAUUGGUUUCAUUUACGUGUUGACUCACCAACCCAUCUAUCAUUUCAACCAGCUAUUUCCAACAGCACUAUUACCACAUAGACUCACUGGGAAGUAUAAAAGCAUAGAUGAUUACAAUUUUUCUGCAGUUAAAAAUAGACAAAACAGAGUUGUUUAUAACUGGCUCUUUUCACCAUCUUAGUCUCUUAACUGACUCAUCCUUAAAAUCCAGUCUAGGUUCACAUUGUAAAGCCCAUUUUGUGGAUAGUCAGGUUUACUUUGCUUCCUUCUUAUAUAGUGAUUGUCGGCCAAUCAAAAUCUCUUAUAAAUAACUGGAAAUGAUUCUGCAAUCUUUGCCUUUCCUCUUGUCAUUCAUGUCCCAUUCCCAUUUGAUGAUUGCAACAGGUAGCCUGUUAAAUUGCCAAUUGAUCGGAUUACCAACCUCUCUUUGUAGUCAAAGAUGUUUCUCUACUAGGAAAUAAUAGUGUAUUUCAAUGUUAUAUAGAGAUGUGAAGAAAACAGGGAACAAAUGUGUUUUCUACUCCUUCUCUGCAUCUAUUGCAUCAUAAGGUAAAGGUAAAGGGACCCCUGACCAUUAGAUCCAGUCGUGACCAACUCUGGGGUUGCAGCGCUCAUCUCGCGUUAUUGGCCGAGGGAGCCGGCGUACAGCUUCCAGGUCAUAUGGCCAGCAUGACAAAGCCACUUCUGGUGAACCAGAGCAGCGCACGGAAACGCCAUCUACCUUCCCGCUGGAGCAGGACCUAUUUAUCUACCGGUACUUGCACUUUGAUGUGCUUUCGAACUGCUAGGUUGCAGGAGCAGGGACCGAGCAAUGGGAGCUCACCCCGUCACAGGGAUUCGAACUGCCGACCUUCUGAUCGACAAACCCUAGGCUCUGUGGUUUAACCCACAGUGCCACCCACGUCCCUCUAUUGCAUCAUGCAAACAGAGAAUAGAAGUUUUUGCGUUUCUCCAUGUGUGAUCUUAGAGGCACACAUAUAUCAUGGCAUAUACUGUACCAUAUCUGCAAACUAGAUUGCCAUGGAUCUAUCUAUCUAUCUAUAAACCUAUAAACAAUGAACAAUUUGAGUGAUUGGCUGCAAUAUGUUACCUGUAAAUGGUGACAGUCAAAAGGCCCCCUGGCUAGGGGUGACUCACGCAGCUAGUACAAAACUUUCUGUAGCUCCAACAGACACUACAGACCACCAUUUCAGAGCAAUGCUAAUAGCUGUUCUUUGCUUGUGUAGAAGUCAAAGAACUUUUACACAGGAAUUACAGUAUUGGCAGUCUAUAGGAAUGCAAUUUGUCCCUAUUUUACAGGAUAUUACAUGGCUUUCUAUCACAAAUGAACAACUAAUCUUCAUCAGUUAGAGCACAAAAUAAACGUAAGCUGUUUCCAGCUUUGCUACUGUAUCUUGCAAAAAGAGUUCAGCUCUUCUACCUUAUGGGAGGGUAUUUUUAACAGACAUGUGGUACCACUUAGUGUCACCCAGGGAUCACAACAAGGUGCCUGAAGGCUCUAGUGUGCCCACCAGUACCUUCUAUCUCUUCAAAAUGAGCCCACAAUGCACAAGAAAUCAUUUGUUCUUCCUGCUUAGUUCCUGUUUGCAGUACUCCUACACUGAACACACACACCCUUAAACAAGUCCACAUUUUAUUGGAUGCUGGGAUUGGGCACCCACCCUCUAAUCUGUUUUGAACAGAGCUUCUCUCUGUGAAUGAAUGUGGCCGUAGAUGGUAUAGGUGUCUUUCUCCCUAUUGAUGGGAUGCCUUAUGGGAGGCAUGUCACCAUGAUGUGGUCAUUCUGUACCUUUUUCUGCUCUUUUAUAUUAUCCAAUACUUUCACAGCACCCAUUUUGUGUAUUGCCACACAACGUGGCAGCCAUUUUGUGACUGGCAUCCAUGACACUGACUCAUAUUCUAUCUAUAGGCUCCUGCUGGCCCCCAAAGGUUGACAUGCAAAGUCCUAAUUGUAAGCAAUAGCUGGCAUGCAGUGCAAUCCUAUGCAUGAAGUAAAGUUCAUUGUGUUCAGGUGGACUUUUGUAUAUUCAACGACCAAUGCUGCAGUGAGCCAUCAACAGGCUGGCUACAGGGGGAAGAUAGCUGGUGUUAUUUCUAGCCCUUGCUAAAUUCAUGAAUUUUUGAAAUUACACAAAUUCCAAUGUUUUACUGAUUCUAGAAGUUGGGGAGGGCUUGCAAAAACACAGUAUCUCUGUCGCUGAUUUAAACCUGCAUUAUGCUUAGACUAGAAAGAUCAUGCCUGUCCUUUUUAAUAUGAAACAUGUACAUGGGAAUACAGCAAUAUCCAGAGAAAUAAAUGGAUUGGUUUUGCACAUCUUUCUGAUCCAAGCUGGAUAUGGGAAUUCAAUAGCAAUUUUGUCUUUAAGAUGUUGCCACAAACUUUUUGAUGAUGAAAGACAUGGGCUGAGAUCUAAGACCAGACAGCAAUAGAGACUACUUUACAACAUUCUUGCAUUUGAAGUGUUAGAGUAAGAGUACUGCUACUGUUUGUUUGAACAAGGAAAUGUACGAAAGAAAAGAUCAUGAAUUAAAACAACAAAUGUCUUGUGUGAAAUAUAUUUUCUCAGUAAUGAUUAUGUGUUAAGUUCUUUGAAAAAUCCAUUUUAAUACCUGAAAUUUUUGAAACAAUUAUUGAUUUCUUUACUAGAAAUUUUAAUGUUCUUGCCAGCAAAAUGUUUCCUUCAAAACCUUUGGAUACUAUCUUUUUCCUCUUUCCAGUAGGUAAACAUACAGCAAAAAUCCCAUUGUCAUUCAAGGUCAUCUUCACUGGUAUAACCUGUUUACAUCCUAAAUAUGGCUAAAGUUAAGCAUUUUGUUAAUUGACCUCAAUGGGAGAGUUAAGUAUAUUACAACCUCUCAUUGUAAUCCAGAGGAUUUAAACCUGAGCUAGACAUGGUUCUUGAUCUUAUCUGGAGAACUUAAUACUCUGCUUUUCAGUCAGCCAUGCUCCUAGAGCAGUUUACAAAUAAUUAAGAACCCAAAUACAGACAUAUAAUGAAGUUGUUAACAAUAAAAACAAUGCUACAGUAGAGCAGAUAAAAUUCCAGUGUUUAAUUAAACACAUUGAAACUGAUAGAUCUAAAAGGCAAAUAAAAUGUUCUUCACCUAGUGGUGAAAGAAAGAGGGCAUAAAUUUCAAACAGAGGGAGCCACAAUGGAAAAGGCCCAGUCAUUAGGGGAGGUGUACAAUUGCAGCCUAAAAUAAAUGAUCCCACACCUCCUCCCGUCUUCCCUGGAAACAGGCAGCUAGACUGGUGACUGGGAGCGGCCACCGAGACCACCGGUCUUGAAAGAUCUACAUUGGCUCCCAGUACGUUUCCGAGCACAAUUCAAAGUUUUGGUGCUGACCUUUAAAGCCCUAAACGGCCUGGGCCCAGAAUACCUGAAGGAGCGUCUCCACCCCCAUCAUUCUGCCUGGACACUGAGGUCCAGUGCCGAGGGCCUUCUGGCGGUUCCCUCGCUGCGAGAAGCCAAGUUACAGGCAGAGGGCCUUCCUGGUAGUGGCACCCAUCCUGUGGAACGCCCUCCCACCAGAUGUCAAAGAGAAAAACAACUACCAGACUUUUAGAAGACAUCUGAAGGCAGCCCUGUUUAGGGAAGCUUUUAAUGUUUAAUAGAUUAUUAUAUUUUAAUAUUCUGUUGGAAGCCGCCCAGAGUGCCCGGGGAAACCCAGCCAGAUGGGCGGGGUAUUAUUCAUUCAUUCAUUUAUUAUUUUGCGCCCCAGCUCCUCCACUUAGCAGCAAAGCCACCCACAACCAAUUGCCCCGGGGGGGGGAGUGACCUUGUUGCUCCCCCCUUUUCGUGCCACCCACUUCAGGGUUGUAUCACCAGGGUUGGCCUGUCAGUAGUACCCACUAUCAACAGCAGCCCACUGGAAACUAGCCACAGUUGUGACUAAGUUCUUGUUCUUUUCCAGGUACAGCAGAAAAGGAUGUGAGAGGCUGAGGUUGCCUCUUCAUCUCUAGGCUUGCCAUAACUCAGGAAAAUUCCUGAAAUGUCUUGGUUUUCAGGUGUAAAAAUAGCAUGGGGGGAGGAUUUUGCUGAAUCAGCAAAGUGUCAGGGAAAACCCGGAUGUAUGGAAAUGCAAUGGAAAACAGCUCCAAAAGCUUAAAAUCACUAUUUUGGGAGGAAGUUUCUCUAAAAAAGCUCAACAAUUUCGAUUUGUUCUUUAAAAAACCCACAAAGCUCAGUAAAGACUGGAAUGCAGUGUUUACACGGACGAUAUUUUAAAUUAAAUCCACUGAACCUCUAUUGCUUGGUUAUCCAGAUUUUUAGCACAACUUAUAUUUGAUGGUCAGAGAAAGGAAUAACAUUUUAAAUAUUAAUAAAGUAGCUAAAACAUGCUAUUUAAAAUUGAACAUAUUAAGCAACAAACAUACUGCACAAAGAUUGACAGGCAAUCAGUCAAGCAUUAAUAAUGAAUGCUUAUGCACAUUAAAAGGUCCUACAUCAGUUCCAAAUAGCAAAACCCAGAGGGAUUUCACCAAACCAUAUCAAGACAAUAAAAGCCCACCCCCUACCCCACAUGUGCAUGAACAAAUAAUUUCAAACUGGUUUUAGGCUUAAGUGGUUCUCCUCAAAAUCAGGUAUAAAAACAGUGUAACGCAAUAUUUCGCUAUGUAUGUUCUGUUGUCAAUUCAGAAAGGUGUUUUAAAAUAUUGUGAUAAAGUAUAACAUAAAAACACCAAUAAUUUUUUUAAGGGAAGAAAUAGGAAAGGUUUACUUACCCCUAGGAUAUUACCAUACUUGGCAGCAUUGCGUACAAUUCCACUUAUAAUGAUAGAACUGAAUAGUCAUCACUUUUAAUGGAUCAAAUCUACGCAGUCCAUCAGCAAUGCUGUUAAAUCUAAUCAGAAGUUGGGUUGUAAAAUUAAUGGUCCUGUAUUCUCUCUAAAAAGGGGGUAUUCUAAUAAAUUUGGAUCAGCACCAUAUUUCGCCUCUCCCCCAGCAUCGGUGAUGGUAAAUUUCAAUAGCGUUUUAGGGCUCAGCUUAAGCAAACAUCCAAUAGAGUGACUAACGAGAGGGUUGGAUCAGAACAAGUAGUGUUUCUAUGAUAUAUAUUAAUCAGGUUUAUAGUCCAACAAAAUGAGUGAAUAUUAAACUUAAUCUCUUAAAAUAUUAUCAGCCAAAGUAAAAUAAAAAAGGCCAGGUCCUGAAAAUAAUUAGUAUAACGAAUUCUCUGGCUGAAAAAAUUGUGGCAUAUCAUUUGGACAAUGGACUUCGACUUGGGCAAACGGAACUUGCACUUCCUCUCCUCCUUCUUGCAGUGCUCCACCAGAAGUUGCUCCAGUAGGUUGUGGAACUUUCUGGAGCAGAUUGAGCGGAAGGGACAUACAGGGGCUGAAGUGGGAGAAGGCGAAGUGCUGUCAUAUCCAUCGGUGUGACGUUGGAACUCACCCUAAAUUUUAAGCCUCAGUCCUACUUCAUGCCCCGUAGCCGCCCUGUCCUUCGCAGAGAGACGGAGGGAGGAAAGUUACUCGCAGCGGCUGAGGGAGAGGAGGAGGCGGCGACAGCGGCAGAGCCAUUGGGCUUAGUGGCUCGUUGCACUCUGCUUGGGCGCCCCUGAGAGGCCGGCGCCCUGGCGCAACGAGCCACUAGCCCCUAUGGGAAGGACGCCUCUGAUUGAGAGUCAAGUGGCCAGGCCUUGAAUGACUUCUGUGGUAUGAUGGCUAAUUAUAAGAGAAUAUAAUAUUGAUGAAAAUUAACAAAAGAAAAUGAAAAUAAAUAGUGUGCUAGAUAGACUAAGUGGUAGGUGCAUGAUGGGGUGGCCGGAAGUCGUUAGAAGAACGUAUUGUGGUGUGUAAUAACAAAUAUUACCAUUUUCUUUUCUUUCUUCUGGAUAAUCCUUUUGUUUGUCAUUUCUUUUUAAUCUCAAUAAAGCAUAAAAAAGAGAGUGUGCAAAAAAGAGAUAGUAUACAACAAAUCAGUAUAUAGAUUAGUUCCACUUUCCCACAAAUAUCACUAGUAUGGUUUUAUUUGUACGUUUCUGGGACAGAACCUACCGGUAUGUGUUUUUACCUAUGUAUGUCACAAUGUACAUUGACACUGUUCUAGAAAUACCCCCCCCCCCUGUUAAUAGUACUGAUUAUUUUAAUAAAAGAAGUGAAAACUUGCUGAAAGGCACAGCAGAUAUAGUAAGUCAUAUGCAGAAUUUGGAAUUUGCUAAAAUUCCAAGUCAUGCCAAACUCUUCGAGACCCAUUUCAGUAAAGCACUCAAUUUCCAAAGGGAUGAUUUGUGAGCCGUAAAGGGCACAAUUCUGGCUCGCUUCUACUCUUGUGGAGGGUGGAGAACUUGAACAUUGACCUGCGUUUGAUUUCCAUGCAGUUGCAGCCCAAGCUGAGUAGGCGGAUCUGCGGGGGAAUUUCAUAUUAUCAGACAGAUUUCCAAGGGAUAAGAUGAGAUGAGACAAGAGAAAAGGUGUAGGCAAGUUGGCCUUCUAUUUCCAGCAACCAGCAGAACCACCAUGCUGAUUGCUGUAAUCUGCUCAGCUCCCAGCAUGCAAUCUGAUACUAUAAGUACACCCUAGCACUUUCGUCCCUCCAGGUUGCAGACUGACUCUCAGGGUUGCUGGGCUGCAGCCCUGUGUGUUUGUUCUCGUAAGGAAGUAGGGUAGGUUAGGAGAUAGGUGGCAUGGCUUAAUGACAUGGAGGGCUCUUGCCUUGUCACACCAACCUAGCAUGCAUUAACAUUGUUUGAUAGGGGUUUUGAAGGAAUUGUGUGCAUUCAAGACCAGCAGUGUGUCUGCAUGUGUUUGGAGCCUCUGCAAACUGUUAUAAAUACUAGUGGAGUGUGCAACCCACAAGAGUAGGGUCCCCAAACUUAGGCCUGAGGGCCAGAUACGGCCCAAUCGCCUUCUAAAUCUGGCCCGCAGACGGUCCGGGAAUCAGCAUGUUUUUACAUGAGUAGAAUGUCUCCUUUUAUUUAAAAUGCAUCUCUGGGUUAUUUGUGGGGCAUAGGAAUUCAUUCAUAUAUUUUUUCCCCAAAAUAUAGUCCAGCCCCCCACAAGGUCUGAGGGACAGUGGACCGGCCCCCUGCUGAAAAAGUUUGCUGACCCCUGCACAAGAGUCACACUGGGUUUCUUUUCCCCCUUCUCUUGUGGACUCAUAUGUGCACAGACAGCACUCAUAUAUGUUCAUAUACACACUGCUGAGAGGUUUAGGAUCUUUGGCAUCCCUGUCUGCUAUCUGCCUUCAAAUCACCUUACUGUUGUGUGGAUGGAGCCUACUGAGUAGUUGAGUAUCCUGUACUUAGCAACUAAAUUUGCAUGUGUUAAUGUUUUAUGUCAGAUGUGGGUGAAUUCAGGAUAUGCCCAAAUGACUUUCUGAAAGGAGCUGGAAUCUGGCUUGUUCCAGGGUCACCAAAGCUCAUCAUAGAGAGUCUUAUGCCAUAUUAGUUAUGUGACAACUUCACCUGAAUCACCUCUACCUGAAUCCAGGUGAGACCUGGAAACAGACACCCUGUGUUGUGGUCAGCCACAACACCCGAUUGGUAGGUCCCUCGAUGUUGGAUUCAAUCUGGACAAUGGGGUGCAGUCCAAACGGAUGAAGGGACCUAUAUAUGCCCAUGCACGUGACCCAGAGCUUCCUCUUUCGGUGCGUGCAUUUGGAACACCCACCCACCUCUCCCUACUUUUAGGGCUUGCUGCACUUGACCUUGCUAUGCCAUCACCUGUUGUCUGAAAUUGGGACAGGGGCACGGCAGGAAUUUUCCCUACUUGGCUGAUUGGCUGGUGCCAUUUAGGUUUCGCCUGCUGCGUAGCAAAUUGUCACAACUUGUAAGGUUGCGGAUAGGCACUGGCUCAGGUGAUAGGGAUGGGAGAACGCUCUUACCAUCCCUAUGUGAAGGGUAUUCCGUUAAAGGAAUCCAGGGACUCCAAACUACGAGAGAAGGACAAUCGUGACUUUAAAGUAGGAUGGGAACUUUUUAUAAUCUAUUUAAAAAGGCACAAAAGAACUUGGACUCCUUGGCAGGUUCUGAAUAAACAUUCACAAUUUAUUAGGAGAACAUAGGAUAGAUAAGGUACAAAUUUAUAACAUGCAGAGAAUAACAUGUGCAAAUAAACCAGAGGGGGUAGCUGCGGGAAG